GUGCUACUCCUCCUCCUCCCUUGAGCUAGCAAGAAGUAGAGGAGCUUGGUGAAGGUGCGAUCUUCGUCGACGACGCGCCGAGGAGCGUUUCCGGCGACGUGACGCUGCGAGGAAGCCAGGCGUGCGUGCGGGACCGCCGUCCUCGACUCAGCGACGGGCCUAGGACAUUUCGAGAGGAGUGUCGAAACGCGACGAAAUUUGAUGUGCUAGAUUCGCGACUUCGAGACGAAGAUUCUGAGCCCAAUAUCGUGAUUUUUGGAGCAGGUUCCAGCGUCGACGUUUCGUAUUCUGGCCCGUUCUCUGCGUAGGAGCGUCGGAAUUCAGCGAAACCUGGGCCAUUGGAUUCGUGACUUCGAGACGAAGCUUCAGAACCCUUGUUUGCUGAAUUUGGAUAAGCAGGAGAACCGGGGACUUCGACGGACCAGCGAGGGAUCAAUUUGGAUCCGGGCCACUUUCUUCGCUGCCAGGAGUUGCUUGAGAGGGCCUUCUGUUUCGGCUGCUGCUCCUUCUGAGGCGGACCGCGGGAAAGGCGUGGCGAGUUAGAGCCUACCCUCCGAGUACAGUGCUAGAGGACUCCCGCUGCAGGUAGUGACAGUUUUUGUUCGGGCGCUUUUGUACAUACAGUUGAACUCGCUGGAGCGAGUAGUGUUCUUUUGUAUCCGUGGCUGAUGUAGGUAU